AACGAACGCUGGCGGCGUGCUUAACACAUGCAAGUCGAACGCGAAAGGGACUUCGGUCCUGAGUAAAGUGGCGCACGGGUGAGUAACGCGUAGAUAACCUGUCUUCUUGUCUGGAAUAAUACGCCGAAAGGGGUACUAAUACCGGAUAUUCUUGCUUUAUAUAAGUUUUGCAAGGAAAGGUGGCCUCUGCAUAUGCUACUGCAGGAAGAGGGGUCUGCGUACCAUUAGCUAGUAGGUGGGGUAAUGGCCCACCUAGGCAACGAUGGUUAGCGGGUCUGCGAGGAUGAUCAGCCACACGAGCGCUGGAGCACGGGCCAGGCUCCUACGGGAGGCAGCAGUGAGGAAUAUUGCGGAAUGGGGGCAACCCUGACGCAGCGACGCCGCGUGAGGAUGAAGGCCUUCGGGUUGUAAACUCCUGUCAGCAGGGGAGAACAAGUUGUCGAUGAAUAAUUGACGACUUUGACAGUACCUGCAGAGGAAGCCACGGCUAACUCUGUGCCAGCAGCCGCCGCAGUAA
rnacentral:rRNA from 1 species